AACGGGCUAACGUGACAUCAAUAACGAGUAUAUUAUUAUAUAGUAUAAGGAACUAUUAAUUUACAAGGCGGCAACGCGGCGUGCUCAACAUCACGGAUAAAGCUACCGAACGUAGUUAUUCCUACAUUUACUGAAGUCAAGCAGCAUCUGGCAGCAUUAAAAAACCUGGGUGAGCCCAUAUGGGACAGCAUCAUCGUAUGUAUUGUGCUACGCAAA